rnacentral:rRNA from 1 species
AUUGAACGCUGGCGGCAGGCCUAACACAUGCAAGUCGAGCGGAUGAGUGGAGCUUGCUCCAUGAUUCAGCGGCGGACGGGUGAGUAAUGCCUAGGAAUCUGCCUGGUAGUGGGGGACAACGUUUCGAAAGGAACGCUAAUACCGCAUACGUCCUACGGGAGAAAGCAGGGGACCUUCGGGCCUUGCGCUAUCAGGUGAGCCUAGGUCGGAUUAGCUAGUAGGUGAGGUAAAGGCUCACCUAGGCGACGAUCCGUAACUGGUCUGAGAGGAUGAUCAGUCACACUGGAACUGAGACACGGUCCAGACUCCUACGGGAGGCAGCAGUGGGGAAUAUUGGACAAUGGGCGAAAGCCUGAUCCAGCCAUGCCGCGUGUGUGAAGAAGGUCUUCGGAUUGUAAAGCACUUUAAGUUGGGAGGAAGGGCAGUAAGCUAAUACCUUGCUGUUUUGACGUUACCAACAGAAUAAGCACCGGCUAACUUCGUGCCAGCCGCCGCAGUAA